AUUGAACGCUGGCGGCAGGCUUAACACAUGCAAGUCGAGCGGGGUGAUGGUGCUUGCACUAUCACUUAGCGGCGGACGGGUGAGUAAUGCUUAGGAAUCUGCCUAUUAGUGGGGGACAACACCUCGAAAGGGAUGCUAAUACCGCUUACGUCCUACGGGAGAAAGCAGGGGCUUACGUGUGACCUUGUGCUAAUAGAUGAGUCUAAGUCGGAUUAGCUAGUUGGUGGGGUAAAGGCCUACCAAGGCGACGAUCUGUAGCGGGUCUGAGAGGAUGAUCCGCCACACUGGGACUGAGACACGGCCCAGACUCCGACGGGAGGCAGCAGUGGGGAAUAUUGGACAAUGGGGGGAACCCUGAUCCAGCCAUGCCGCGUGUGUGAAGAAGGCCUUAUGGUUGUAAAGCACUUUAAGCGAGGAGGAGGCUCUUUUGGUUAAUACCCAAGAUGAGUGGACGUUACUCGCAGAAUAAGCACCGGCUAACUCUGUGCCAGCAGCCGCCGCAG
rnacentral:rRNA from 1 species